AUUGAACGCUGGCGGCAGGCCUAACACAUGCAAGUCGAGCGAGCGGCGGACGGGUGAGUAAUGUCUGGGAAACUGCCUGAUGGAGGGGGAUAACUACUGGAAACGGUAGCUAAUACCGCAUACCAUCAGAUGUGCCCAGAUGGGAUUAGCUAGUAGGUGGGGUAACGGCUCACCUAGGCGACGAUCCCUACCGGGUCUGAGAGGGUGACCAGCUACACGGGAAGUGAGACACGGUCCAGACUCCUACGCGAGGCAGCAGUGGGGAAUAUUGCACAAUGGGCGCAAGCCGGAUGCAGCCAUGCCGCGGGUGUGAAGAAGGCCUUCGGGUUGUAAAGCACUUUCAGCGGGGGGGCGUUACCAUCAGAAGAAGCACCGGCUAACUCCGUGCCAGCAGCCGCGGUAAUAC
rnacentral:rRNA from 1 species